CCCUGCAGGUAGGCAGGAGCCCCCCGUAGCCAAGGGAAGCGGCAUGGCAACCUGCGUGGAGGCUGCGUGCAGUGAUGCGAUGGGAGCUCAAGGAGGACUGCAGUUGUGAACAGGGAGAUGUAGAGAUCUGGCUGGGAUCUCAGGAUUUGCUCAGGGUGUUGCCGGAGCCAGCUAUGAAGCUGGAGGCAGUAGCCACGCUGGGCAGGAGGAGGACCCUGGGAUGACAGUGGCCAGUUCAGCACAGCAAAGCAGGGAAAGGGUCGAGUGGCUGGUUCCUGCAGGGAUGGAAAACCCUGAUGGUGACAUCUGCAGCCAAGCUUGUUGCUCCAUGGUGUGCUGAGGAAGUUGGAAAGAGGCUCAGACUCAAGUGCCAAGGAGGGGAGAGUUGAUACCGCAGCCUGAUCCAGGUGGGAGGCAAAGGAGGUGAGGCCAGACUUCACCAAAGGAUGGGACAUUUGCAGAAUGAAUGGUGUCUUUGUAAAAUUUCGUCUUAUUCUGGAAAGGCUCAAGAGAAUGUCGGCCUGCCAACCUGCUCCCUCUCCAGCCAGGAUAGUCCUCCUCAACUGCGAAAGCCAAGGCAAGCUGAUUCCUGCCCUCCUGUGAGAUGCCUUCUGUGCAUCUUGAAAAUGCUUUUUUGGUUGUCCUUGUUAAAAACAAACCAAAACAAAACCAGUUUGCAUAAUAAAGUUGAUUCUGAGG